CACGUAGGGCGCAAGCGUUGUCCGGAAUUAUUGGGCGUAAAGAGCUCGUAGGCGGUCUGUUGCGUCCGCUGUGAAAACUCGGGGCUUAACCCCGAGCCUGCAGUGGAUACGGGCAGACUAGAGGUAGGUAGGGGAGAAUGGAAUUCCUGGUGUAGGCGGUGAAAUGCGUAGAUAUCAGGAGGAAUACCGGUGGUGUAGACGGCUCUCUGGACCGCCACUGACGCUGAGACACGAAAGCGUGGGUAGCAAACAGG
rnacentral:rRNA from 1 species